rnacentral:rRNA from 1 species
UACGGAGGGUGCAAGCGUUGUCCGGAAUCACUGGGCGUAAAGGGCGCGUAGGCGGCUCAUGAAGGCUGUGGUGAAAGUCCGGGGCUCAACCUCGGAUCGGCCGUGGCGACUCGUGGGCUGGAGCACUGUAGAGGCGGGUGGAAUUCCGGGUGUAGCGGUGGAAUGCGUAGAGAUCCGGAGGAACACCAGCGGCGAAGGCGGCAUCCUGGACUGGUCCUGACACUCAGGAGCGAAAGCGUGGGGAGCGAUCCGG